rnacentral:rRNA from 1 species
AGACGGGGGGUGCUAGCGUUGUUCGGAAUUACUGGGCGUAAAGGGCGCGUAGGCGGCUCUGCGAGUCGGGCGUGAAAUCCCGGGGCUCAACCCCGGAACGGCGCUCGAUACUGCGGGGCUGGAGACCGGAAGAGGAGGGUGGAAUUCCCAGUGUAGAGGUGAAAUUCGUAGAUAUUGGGAGGAACACCGGUGGCGAAAGCGGCUCUCUGGUCCGGUUCUGACGCUGAGGCGCGAAAGCGUGGGGAGCAAACAGGAUUAGAUACCCUAGUAGUCC